rnacentral:rRNA from 1 species
UACGGAGGGUGCAAACGUUGCUCGGAAUUAUUGGGCGUAAAGCGCACGUAGGCGGCCGAUUAAGUCAGGUGUGAAAGCCCAGGGCUCAACCCUGGAAGUGCACUCGAAACUGGACGGCUUGAAUAUGGAAGAGGGUUGCGGAAUUCCCGGUGUAGAGGUGAAAUUCGUAGAUAUCGGGAGGAACACCGGUGGCGAAGGCGGUUCUCUGGGCCUGUACUGACGCUGAGGAGCGAAAGCGUGGGGAGCAAACAGG